rnacentral:lncRNA from 12 species
GGGGGAUGUGCUAGACAAGGACCCAAGAGUGACUGACAUGGACAAUUCUCCCUCCCACCCAGUUUUCAUUCUGGGAGGUGUGGGGGUCUAACAGCACAUUCCACUGAAAACCUGCUCCGUAAACGUUCCAUGGUAACGGAGACACACGAGAGAGACAGAAGAAUUUCCACUCCCGAGCGUAAUGCUUUCCAUAAAUACAGGAGGGAGAGGUGGCAGUUCCUAAAGAUUCCUUUGGAUUCCCUAUAUGGUGCCAUAAAACCUCUAAGGGAGAGCCUCAGUUUAGGGCAAUGACACAAUUGCAGGAGAAAUUCUCAAGGCCUGGCCUACAUCACAUGGAUAAGCGCUCUGGGCCCAGUCACUGGGGAAGACCAGCAGGAGUCUGGUCUGACACAAAUUAGAACAAGGCUUUAUUUCACAGGAAAAAUUAAAGGACAAUUUUGUAAUAAAGAGCUUAGAAGAUCUUAUAAAAUAGGGAUCCCUGGGUGGCGCAGCGGUUUGGCGCCUGCCUUUGGCCCAGGGCGCGAUCCUGGAGACCCGGGAUGGAGUCCCACGUCGGGCUCCCGGUGCAUGGAGCCUGCUUCUCCCUCUGCCUGUGUCUCUGCCUCUCUGUCUCUCUCUGUGACUAUCAUAAAAAAUAAAUAAAUAAAAUAAAAUAAAAUAAAAUACACUUGUUAUUAUGAAUGUCA